rnacentral:rRNA from 1 species
UACGUAGGGUGCGAGCGUUGUCCGGAAUUAUUGGGCGUAAAGAGCUCGUAGGCGGCUUGUCGCGUCGGAUGUGAAAGCCCGGGGCUUAACUCCGGGUCUGCAUUCGAUACGGGCAGGCUAGAGUUCGGUAGGGGAGAUCGGAAUUCCUGGUGUAGCGGUGAAAUGCGCAGAUAUCAGGAGGAACACCGGUGGCGAAGGCGGAUCUCUGGGCCGAGACUGACGCUGAGGAGCGAAAGCGUGGGGAGCGAACAGG